rnacentral:rRNA from 1 species
UACGUAGGGUGCGAGCGUUAAUCGGAUUCACUGGGCGUAAAGGGUGCGUAGGUGGCAGGGUAAGUUUGAUGUGAAAUCUCCGAGCUUAACUCGGAAACUGCAUUGAAUACUAUCCUGCUUGAGGGUUGGAGGGGAGACUGGAAUUCUCGGUGUAGCAGUGAAAUGCGUAGAGAUCCGGAAGAACACCGGUGGCGAAGGCGGCCCGCUGGGCAACUGCUGACACUGAGGCGCGACAGCGUGGGGAGCAAACAGG